rnacentral:rRNA from 1 species
GACGAACGCUGGCGGCGUGCUUAACACAUGCAAGUCGAGCGGUAAGGCCCUUUCGGGGGUACACGAGCGGCGAACGGGUGAGUAACACGUGGGUGACCUGCCCUUAGCUCUGGGAUAAGCCUGGGAAACUGGGUCUAAUACCGGAUAUGACUCCAUGACGCAUGUUGUGGGGUGGAAAGCCUUGUGCGGCUAGGGAUGGCCCGCGGCCUAUCAGCUUGUUGGUGGGGUGAUGGCCACCAAGGCGACGACGGUAGCCGGCCUGAGAGGCGACCGGCCACACUGGGACUGAGACACGGCCCAGACUCCUACGGGAGGCAGCAGUGGGGAAUCUUGCGCAAUGGGCGAAAGCCUGACGCAGCGACGCCGCGUGAGGGAUGA